GUGCUCACUCCGGCAGCACAUAUACUGAAACUGGAAUGAUACAGAGAUUAGUAUGGGCCCUGCGCAAGGAUGACACGCAAAUUCGUGAAGUGUUCCAUAUUUUU